UGGCCCAGAUCGUUUACCGUGAAAAAAUUAGAGUGUUCAAAGCAGGCAGAUCCAAUUUUCUGCCACCGAAUACAUUAGCAUGGGAUAAUGGAAUAGGACCCUGUCCUCCUAUUUUCAGUUGGUUUUGGCAGCGCGAGGACUAGGGUAAUGAUUAAUAGGGAUAGUUGGGGGCAUUAAUAUUUAAUUGUCAGAGGUGAAAUUCUUGGAUUUAUGAAAGAUUAACUUCUGCGAAAGCAUCUGCCAAGGAUGUUUUCAUUAAUCAAGAACGAAAGUUAGGGGAUCGAAGACGAUCAGAUACCGUCGUAGUCUUAACCAUAAACGAUGCCGACCAGCGAUUAGGAGACGUUGAAUACAAAACACCACCAUCGGUUGCGCGGUCAUCCUUGGCGUCUCGGUUUCGGCCGGGGCGCGGGGAUGGCGUAGCACGUUACUCCCCA
rnacentral:rRNA from 1 species